CCUACGGGAGGCUGCAGUGGGGAAUAUUGGACAAUGGGCGAAAGCCUGAUCCAGCCAUGCCGCGUGUGUGAAGAAGGCCUUCGGGUUGUAAAGCACUUUCAGUGGGGAAGAAAGCCUUGGGGCUAAUACCCUCGAGGAAGGACAUUACCCACAGAAGAAGCACCGGCUAACUCCGUGCCAGCAGCCGCGGUAAUACGGAGGGUGCGAGCGUUAAUCGGAAUUACUGGGCGUAAAGCGCGCGUAGGCGGUCUGAUAAGCCGGUUGUGAAAGCCCCGGGCUCAACCUGGGAACGGCAUCCGGAACUGUCAGGCUAGAGUGCAGGAGAGGAAGGUAGAAUUCCCGGUGUAGCGGUGAAAUGCGUAGAGAUCGGGAGGAAUACCAGUGGCGAAGGCGGCCUCCUGGACUGACACUGACGCUGAGGUGCGAAAGCGUGGGUAGCAAACAGGAUUAGAUACCCCGGUAGUC
rnacentral:rRNA from 1 species